GGGUGAGUAAUGUAUGAGCAACCUGCCUUUCAGAGGGGGACAACAGUUGGAAACGACUGCUAAUACCGCGUAAUGUAUAAGGGCGGCAUCGUCUUUAUACCAAAGGAGCAAUCCGCUGAAAGAUGGGCUCAUAUCUGAUUAGCUUGUUGGCGGGGUAACGGCCCACCAAGGCGACGAUCAGUAGCCGGACUGAGAGGUUGAACGGCCACAUUGGGACUGAGAUACGGCCCAGACUCCUACGGGAGGCAGCAGUGGGGAAUAUUGGGCAAUGGGCGAAAGCCUGACCCAGCAACGCCGCGUGAAGGAAGAAGGUCUUCGGAUUGUAAACUUCUUUUAUGAGGGACGAAGGAUGUGACGGUACCUCAUGAAUAAGCCACGGCUAACUACGUGCCAGCAGCCGCGGUAAUACGUAGGUGGCGAGCGUUAUCCGGAUUUACUGGGUGUAAAGGGCGCGUAGGCGGGGGUGCAAGUCAGAUGUGAAAUCUAUGGGCUCAACUCAUAAACUGCAUUUGAAACUGUACUUCUUGAGUGCUGGAGAGGUAGAUGGAAUUCCUUGUGUAGCGGUGAAAUGCGUAGAUAUAAGGAAGAACACCAGUGGCGAAGGCGAUCUACUGGACAGU
rnacentral:rRNA from 1 species